rnacentral:lncRNA from 1 species
UGGCGAUAUUUAAUCCCUAAAAUUCAGUUUACCUGCAGAUUUUGGGCUCAAUACAAAAUCAAGUGACAUUAAAUCUGCAUUAAUACAAAGUACAGACCACCCAAGAUGUUUCUUUUAAAUUACAAAGCGUAACAGCCGAAAGUUAAUGGCCGGGAUGCUGGAAAUUUAAGAAUUCUGUUUUAGAAGAAAAUGAUUUUUGUAAAGAAAUUGGA